rnacentral:rRNA from 1 species
UAGGGAAUCUUCCACAAUGGACGCAAGUCUGAUGGAGCAACGCCGCGUGAGUGAAGAAGGUCUUCGGAUCGUAAAGCUCUGUUGUUGGUGAAGAAGGAUAGAGGCAGUAACUGGUCUUUAUUUGACGGUAAUCAACCAGAAAGUCACGGCUAACUACGUGCCAGCAGCCGCGGUAAUACGUAGGUGGCAAGCGUUGUCCGGAUUUAUUGGGCGUAAAGCGAGCGCAGGCGGAAUGAUAAGUCUGAUGUGAAAGCCCACGGCUCAACCGUGGAACUGCAUCGGAAACUGUCAUUCUUGAGUGCAGAAGAGGAGAGUGGAACUCCAUGUGUAGCGGUGGAAUGCGUAGAUAUAUGGAAGAACACCAGUGGCGAAGGCGGCUCUCUGGUCUGCAACUGACGCUGAGGCUCGAAAGCAUGGGUAGCGAACAGGAUUAGAUACCCUGGUAGUCCAUGCCGUAAACGAUGAGCGCUAGGUGUUGGGGACUUUCCGGUCCUCAGUGCCGCAGCAAACGCAUUAAGCGCUCCGCCUGGGGA